rnacentral:lncRNA from 1 species
CCCCCCCCCAAAAAAAGAAGAAUUUGAUUGAUGAUAAUAUUAGGUAUUUCUUCUUACGAGUGGGAUACAUUCUUAUAGUAUAUUAUAAUAAUUGAAAUCUUUUUAUAGAAAUCCAUCAAUAUGAUAUCUCAGGUUAUCCAAGUAGAAGGUGAAUUCUUUUUUUGAUGAAAAAUAAAAUUAAAAAAAAUAUUUACUUUCUCCAUGGUGUCCUGCUAAGAUAAGGAAAAAU